ACCGAGAAAUCACAUUUUCAUCAGUUCAUUUGAAGCUGCGCAAGUCUUUGUAAAACAAGAGACGAGAUACUCCAGAAGAGUUAGUGGAACUGUUAAACAGGGCGAAAUGGAGAUUUUCUGUGCAAAUAAAAGAAACGUCAAACAAAUGUUUUCACUGAUCCAAAAGUUACAACAACAUCGUCUGAACGAUCAAAGAUGUGAUCCUGAAAUUAUUAAAAAAGCCGACGAGAAUCAACUCUUUGAAACGAUAAUUUUCUAUCAGUCCAAGAGAAUUGAAGACCAACGUUGCAACUUGCCGUCCAACCUCGCUGAGGAUCAGCAAUAAGAAUGUUGUUGAAGAAAUAAACAGCAAGAGCCUUCUUGCAUUAUGAUGACGAGAGUCAAGAGAUGUCACUGAUGAAUGAUUUGACAACAUCAACGUGAAAAUCAGAUCAGGUAGGCGUUCAUUACAUCACCCGUAAAGAGAAGAUUGAGCCACUAAAAACAUGGCAACACCGAAACAAUUGAAAAGGAUCCAUUUACAUAUUUUUGAAAGUAAGCUAAUACAGAACGAUAAGCGUGAAAAAUAGCCAACUAGGCGGUCUAGGCCUAUGGAAAGUUGCUAAACGAAAGAAAGGUGUCGCGAGAAAAAAACAGAACAGUGUAUUCAAAAGGAAAUUUUCCGGCCCAUAAUAGAUAAAUACAUUACUUAUUACAAUCACGAUGAAAUAAAACACCGAAAGAAUUAUAUGUCUUA